rnacentral:misc_RNA from 1 species
AACGCACAUUGCGCCCCUUGGUAUUCCAUGGGGCAUGCCUGUUCGAGCGUCAUUUGUACCUUCAAGCUUUGCUUGGUGUUGGGUGUUUGUCUCGCCUCUGCGUGUAGACUCGCCUUAAAACAAUUGGCAGCCGGCGUAUUGAUUUCGGAGCGCAGCACAAGUCGCACUCUCUAUCAGCAAAGGUCUAGCAUCCAUUAAGCCUUUUUUCAACUUUUGACCUCGGAUCAGGUAGGGAUACCCGCUGAACUUAA